rnacentral:rRNA from 1 species
CGGACUUCGGUCUGGUGGCGAGUGGCGAACGGGUGAGUAAUGCAUCGGAACGUGCCCAGUAGCGGGGGAUAACUACGCGAAAGCGUAGCUAAUACCGCAUACGCCCUACGGGGGAAAGCAGGGGAUCGCAAGACCUUGCACUAUUGGAGCGGCCGAUAUCGGAUUAGCUAGUUGGUGGGGUAACGGCUCACCAAGGCGACGAUCCGUAGCUGGUUUGAGAGGACGACCAGCCACACUGGGACUGAGACACGGCCCAGACUCCUACGGGAGGCAGCAGUGGGGAAUUUUGGACAAUGGGGGAAACCCUGAUCCAGCCAUCCCGCGUGUGCGAUGAAGGCCUUCGGGUUGUAAAGCACUUUUGGCAGGAAAGAAACGUCAUGGGUUAAUACCCCGUGAAACUGACGGUACCUGCAGAAUAAGCACCGGCUAACUACGUGCCAGCAGCCGCGGUAAUACGUAGGGUGCAAGCGUUAAUCGGAAUUACUGGGCGUAAAGCGUGCGCAGGCGGUUCGGAAAGAAAGAUGUGAAAUCCCAGAGCUUAACUUUGGAACUGCAUUUUUAACUACCGGGCUAGAGUGUGUCAAAGGGAGGUGGAAUUCCGCGUGUAG